rnacentral:rRNA from 1 species
AGCGAACGCUGGCGGCAGGCUUAACACAUGCAAGUCGAACGGGCACCUUCGGGUGUCAGUGGCAGACGGGUGAGUAACACGUGGGAACGUGCCCUUCGGUUCGGAACAACUCAGGGAAACUUGAGCUAAUACCGGAUACGCCCUUACGGGAAAGGUUACUGCCGAAGGAUCGGCCCGCGUCUGAUUAGCUAGUUGGUGAGGUAAUGGCUCACCAAGGCGACGAUCAGUAGCUGGUCGAGAGGAUGAUCAGCCACACUGGGACUGAGACACGGCCCAGACUCCUACGGGAGGCAGCAGUGGGGAAUAUUGGACAAUGGGCGAAAGCCUGAUCCAGCCAUGCCGCGUGAGUGAUGAAGGCCUUAGGUUGUAAAGCUCUUUCGACGGGGACGAUAAUGACGGUACCCGUAGAAGAACGCCCCGGCUAACUUCGUGCCAGCCGCCGCCGUAAG